rnacentral:lncRNA from 1 species
CCGCGCUGCACGUGCAGGGACCGGUAGGCGCCGGGGUCAGCGCCAGCGUUUGAUGUGCGGCGGGGAGCGGGCCGAGCCCCGGGAGGCCGCUUCGCACCUCCCAGUGUGUCCGGGUUGAGCGCGAGGUCAGGAGGGGACGCAGAGUUCACGGCGAAGACGGAUCGCGGGGGCUCGUCCCGCCCGGGUUGCGCGCAGCGGGGGCCGCGUGAUGGAUGGGCCGGGCCGGGCACCCGGGAACCCGCGAGCGCGGGGCUGGGCUCUGGGCUGCGUCCGGGGGCCCCGACUUGGUUAUUGAUCGGCCCAAGCGCAGGAGAACUGACUCUAUAAUGCAUCGCCUGACCAGGAAAAGUGUUUGCUUUUGUGGGAGCAAAAGACAACUUUCUGCCCCGCCAGAGCGUUGCUAAGUGAGCGGUAAUGACCACGCUAGAAAUUUCAUAGGGAGAGGCUAAUGGCAGGCUGACUCUAAAAGUGCUUUUAAGUGCAACUUCUGUCUAAUCCCUUGAGGGGGAAGAAAACAUCGGCGACUAAGAAAGUUCAAGUUGUACAGGACCCGGGUUUUUGGGGUCGGGGUCACUUCUGCUCUGCGUGACUUUGAAGAGGAAGACCUGCGGUUUUUUCCAGUGGAUUUUCACACGUGUUUUAAAGAGAACUCCCGGCUCCUGAAAUGAAAGGCCCGCCUGUAGGGUUUUGCUGCCUCCCCUCUGCCCACGCCCCACCCCCACAGCCUGGAUCAAAGCGAUCAGACAAAUUAUUCAGAAGUAACACAGCCCUGAAAUGUUCCUAAACGUGACUAUUUGAGGCGAUGAAUCAAGCGUGUUCCCUCCGCCCCCAACCCACCCCCAGACCGAAAAUGUGACUCUGGAAACGGACUUGCAGAGCUGGCUUCGGUUUAUAUGCGGUUCUGACCCCUGUUGACUUUAGGACAAGCCUUCCUGUUUCCAGUACUGCAGCAUCGCCAGACAGCCUCGCCAUGCAAUCGGCUUUCCAGAUACGAUUUCACUCCUCACCAAAGACACUUCUUUAGGGCGAUUUUAGGAUUCUAUCAACGCUAGUAAAGGAACUACUUAAACACGUUGAUUUGUAUCGCCUUCCCUGACUAUGAAACAUUGAAGUGGAAUACUACUCAUCAAUAAAAAAAAUAUAAACUCCUGAUACACCUCAUGGAUGGAUGCAUAGAUGGAUGGAUGGAUCUGAAAAACAUCGUGCUGAAUAAAAGAAGCCAGACAUGAAAGAAAUGUUGUCCAUAUUGCAUAAAGUUGUGUCAUUUCCUACUCAAACAAAGACUAUCUACCUGAAUGCUUGCAACACGACAAGAAUAAUAACAG